CGUGCAAAAAGACUUCAUUGCGUCCUUUUAGGUCGGUGCAUAUUCAAUGUUUACUCUUUUACGAAAUGCGUAUGUUCAUGUAUACAUGUCAUUUGCUUUUUAAACUUUUGUUUGGUUACGCUAUCCGUGGAAAUGGCAUUUCAAAAGAACACAUUCAUCCGCGUAAAUGGGUCAUACUAUACAUCGCAAACGAAUCAGCCUGAAAAGAAAACACGUGACUUUUAGUAGUUCCAUGUACGAAGAGAGCAUUAUAGUGUGUGCCUGUGAUGAAAUAAUUUAAUAGUCGUUUUGUGUAAAUAGAAUGCAAACAUGGUCAUACUAUAUAGAUAGGGUAUGUGAUAGCAAUAUAAUGUGUGUAUUUA